GUCCUAUCUCCCACCCUGUUCGCAAACCGCCAGAAUGGCCAGCAAAAUAGCGUGAAAGACGGAGAGAGCAGACAGAUAAAAGUAUCGGAUCCCGCUUGCAUGGUAUUUGUUUGCAACGAUUGAUGGGCUUCAGGGUCGUAGUAAAAUAGUACAGCUAGUAAUAGCAAAUAGUGGUGAGCGAUAUAUGAUCCACUUACGCCCAGUAGUAGUUCCGGUUUAUCAAUUUUCACUUAGUUUUAGCCACGAUCCUGUGAUUGAUUUGUGACAGGCAAGCAACGCCUUGUCUUUUUUCAACGAAUCGCUUUGAUCCAGAUUAUCACCACUGCCCAGUGAUUGGCAACAAUCUCUCAGCUUUUACAAUAACAUAUGACUGGCGUGACAGGUGUUGCCACAUUUGACUGUGUUCGUAUUCAUGUUUGACAAAGGUCAAUAUGUACAAGAGUGUGGAGCUUUUGAAGUCUUUCAUUGGUUUCACUGGGAGUCUUGGAUAGUCAACUUAAUUAUAUAAAGCAAUGGCUCUACAUAUAGCGACCGGAAUAAUAGAAUUGAUGUCCCACAUCGAUGAAGCAGAUGGCAGCCAUCU
rnacentral:sRNA from 1 species